GCUGACACAUCCCGGCCAAUCUCCAGCAGACCCUUCCUCCCAGACCCUCCCACCUCCUGGACAGCAUCCAUGUUGAAGGCAGCUUCAACAUGGAUGCUAUCCAGGAGGUGGGAGGGUCUGGGAGGGAGGGUCUGCUGGAGAUUGGCUGGGAUGUGUCAG